AGAACGAACGCUGGCGGCGUGGAUAACACAUGCAAGUCGAGCGGAAAGGCCCUUCGGGGUACUCGAGCGGCGAACGGGUGAGUAACACGUGAGUAAUCUGCCCCUAGCUCUGGGAUAGGCUCCGGGAAACCGGGAUUAAUACCGGAUACGACCACCUUAGACAUCUUUUGUGGUGGAAAGAAUUUCGGCUAGGGAUGAGCUCGCGGCCUAUCAGCUUGUUGGUGGGGUAACGGCCUACCAAGGCGACGACGGGUA
rnacentral:rRNA from 1 species